AGCAGCCGCGGUAACACCGGCGGCCCGAGUGGUGAUCGUGAUUAUUGGGUCUAAAGGGUCCGUAGCCGGUUUGGUCAGUCCUCCGGGAAAUCUGAUAGCUCAACUAUUAGGCUUUCGGGGGAUACUGCCAGACUUGGAACCGGGAGAGGUAAGAGGUACUACAGGGGUAGGAGUGAAAUCUUGUAAUCCCUGUGGGACCACCUGUGGCGAAGGCGUCUUACCAGAACGGGUUCGACGGUGAGGGACGAAAGCUGGGGGCACGAACCGGAUUAGAUACCCGGGUAGUCCCAGCCGUAAACGAUGCUCGCUAGGUGUCAGGCAUGGCGCGACCGUGUCUGGUGCCGCAGGGAAGCCGUGAAGCGAGCCACCUGGGAAGUACGGCCGCAAGGCUGAAACUUAAAGGAAUUGGCGGGGGAGCACAACAACGGGUGGAAGCCUGCGGUUUAAUUGGACUCAACGCCGGACAACUCACCGGGGGCGACAGCAAUAUGUAGGCCAAGCUGAAGACUUUGCCUGAAUCGCUGAGGGGAGGUGCAUGG
rnacentral:rRNA from 1 species